rnacentral:rRNA from 1 species
CUACGGGGGGCAGCAGUGAGGAAUAUUGGUCAAUGGGCGGAAGCCUGAACCAGCCAAGUAGCGUGCAGGAUGACGGCCCUACGGGUUGUAAACUGCUUUUAUACGGGAAUAACGCGCCUUCCGUGUAGGGCUUUUCAUGUACCGUUUGAAUAAGGACCGGCUAAUUCCGUGCCAGCAGCCGCGGUAAUAGGGAGGAUGCGAGCGUUAUCCGGAUUUAUGGGGUUUAAAGGGUGCGCAGGCGGCGAGUUAGGUCAGCGGUAAAAUUUCGGGGCUCAACCCCGACGAGCCGUUGAAACUGGCAGGCUAGAGUGGGGGAGAGGUAGGCGGAAUGCGUGGUGUAGCGGUGAAAUGCAUAGAUAUCACGCAGAACUCCGAUUGCGAAGGCAGCAUACCGGAGCGCAACUGACGCUCAGGCACGAAAGCGUGGGUAUCGAACAGGAUUAGAUACCCCUGUAGUC